UCAUAGCGACUAUCGUGGCAUAUCAAUAAGCGGAGGAAAAGAAACUAACAAGGAUUCCCCUAGUAACGGCGAGUGAAGCGGGAAGAGCUCAAAUUUGAAAUCUUAAAGGGUUUCCCUUGACGAAUUGUAGUUUAAAGAAGUGUUUUCUGUUGGAGUUUUCGGUAAAAGUUCUUCGGAAUAGGACAUCAUAGAGGGUGAGAAUCCCGUAUUUGACCGUUACUUUCCAACUGUGUGAUACACUUUCAAAGAGUCGGAUUGUUUGGGAAUGCAGUCCAAAAUGGGUGGUAAAUUUCAUCUAAAGCUAAAUAUUGGCGAGAGACCGAUAGCGAACAAGUACCGUGAGGGAAAGAUGAAAAGAACUUUGAAAAGAGAGUUAAACAGUACGCGAAAUUGUCAAAAGGGAAGCGUUUGACACCAGUGUUGUUUAGUUGAAAAUCAAUUAAAUAUUGUUCGGAUUUUAGUAGUAUUGACCUUAUCAGCUUGCUGCUUUUUUCUCGGAAUUAUUUAAUGCACUUUUCAGUUAACAAGUCAACAUCAGUUUCUUUUGUUGUAAAAAGGGUAAUAGGAAGGUGGCUUGCUCUUCGGCGCAAGUGUUUAUAGCCUUUGAUCUCCUGCAAUCGGAGAGAUUGAGGUCUGCAGCGUAGAUCCUUCGGGGUUAGAUACAUUUGUGCUAAGCUAUAGCCUUGUAUAGACAACUUGUUGACUAUGCUCAGUCAUGUAGCUUACUCGCUUAUGCUAUUUUACCUACGCUUAGGAUGUUGAUAUGCAUGACUGAUAU
rnacentral:rRNA from 1 species